rnacentral:tRNA from 1 species
GGCCCCAUCGUCUAGUGGUUAGGACACUGCCCUUUCACGGCGGUAACCGGGGUUCGAAUCCCCGUGGGGUCA